rnacentral:rRNA from 1 species
UACGGAGGGGGCCAGCGUUGUUCGGAAUCAUUGGGCGUAAAGGGCGCGAAGGCGGCCGAUCAAGUCGGAGGUGAAAUCCCUCGGCUCAACUGAGGAACUGCCUCCGAUACUGUUCGGCUUGAGUCCUGGAGAGGGUAGUGGAAUUCCCAGUGUAGCGGUGUAAUGCGUAGAGACUGGGAAGAACACCAGUGGCGAAGGCGGCUACCUGGACAGGUACUGACGCUGCAGCGCGAAAGCUAGGGGAGCAAACAGG